AUUAUACAAAUAAAUAAAAGAAGAUAUAAACUAAGUGCAUAGAAUAAUCAUAACAUUUUUAUAAGCCAGUACAAGUAUACAUAAACUAAUAUUAUAUUGUAUACACAGUUAACCUAUUUUGACGUGAACACAUACAAAUAUAACCUACACUGCCUGUGCAAGUAACACAUAAAGCCCACUCAACAAGCCCAUCCAUCACUUCUAAACAGAUUACAGAUAAUUCACAAUUUACCCUAUCUGUCCAUAUCCCAAAACUCCAGUAAACUGAAUUCAACAAAAACUAAUGAUUUAUACAUAUGUAGCCAAUCAAAUAUAAAC
rnacentral:lncRNA from 1 species